GGCACUAUCAUCUAGUGGUCUAGGAUGCUACUCUCUCAAGGUAGUCACGACGAGUUCGAAUCUCGCUAGUGCUUCA
rnacentral:tRNA from 1 species